rnacentral:misc_RNA from 1 species
CAACCCUCAAGCCUAGCUUGGUCUUGGGCUCUGCCGGUAACGGCUGGCCUUAAAAUCAGUGGCGGUGCCAUCGAGCUCUACGCGUAGUAAUUAAACCCUCGCGUGUGAGUCUUGAUGAGUACUUGCCAAUAACCCUCAUUUUUUAU